rnacentral:rRNA from 1 species
GUGAUUAAAUCGAGAGUGUCUUCAUUGACCUCUCACCCUUCACAUCCACAUACACCUGUGCACCGUUUGGCUCUUAUAAAAGACGAAAGUCUGCAAUGAGAGUCAUCAAUUUUAUACAUACCCCAGUCUUAUGAAUGUAACAGUUUUAAUAAACAUAAUAAAACUUUUAACAACGGAUCUCUUGGUUCUCGCAUCGAUGAAGAACGCAGCGAAAUGCGAUAAGUAAUGUGAAUUGCAGAAUUCAGUGAAUCAUCGAAUCUUUGAACGCACCUUGCGCUCCUUGGUAUUCCGAGGAGCAUGCCUGUUUGAGUGUCAUGAAACUCUCAACCUUCAACUUUUUUAUUAAGGCUGAAGGCUUGGACUUGAGCGCUGCUGGUUCUCACGAACCGGCUCGCUUGAAAUGAAUUAGCAGAUCCUUUUUGUAAUCGGUUCCACUCGACGUGAUAAGUAUUUCGCCGAGGACAUAUGAAAGUAUGGCCGAGAUAAAGAAAGUUCUAGAUCCGCUUCUAAUUCUUAGAUAAAGCUUGCUUUACUAAACCCCAUUUUAUGA